GAGUGAAAUAGAUCCUGAAACCGUAUGCGUACAAGCAGUGGGAGCAGACUUGUUCUGUGACUGCGUACCUUUUGUAUAAUGGGUCAGCGACUUAAUUUUAGUAGCAAGGUUAACCGUAUAGGGGAGCCGUAGGGAAACCGAGUCUUAAUAGGGCGUGUAGUUGCUAGGAUUAGACCCGAAACCGAGUGAUCUAUCCAUGUGCAGGUUGAAGGUUAGGUAACACUGACUGGAGGACCGAACCCACUGUCGUUGAAAAGCCAGGGGAUGACGUGUGGAUAGGAGUGAAAGGCUAAUCAAACUCGGAGAUAGCUGGUUCUCCGCGAAAUCUAUUUAGGUAGAGCGUCGAUCGAAUACUCUUGGGGGUAGAGCACUGACUGGGCUAGGGGUCCUCACCGGAUUACCAAACCUUAUCAAACUCCGAAUACCAAGAAGUACUAAUCGGCAGACACACGGCGGGUGCUAACGUCCGUCGUGGAGAGGGAAACAACCCAGACCGCCAGCUAAGGUCCCAAAUUUACAGUUAAGUGGGAAACGAUGUGGGAAGGCUUAGACAGCUAGGAGGUUGGCUUAGAAGCAGCCAUCCUUUAAAGAAAGCGUAAUAGCUCACUAGUCGAGUCGGCCUGCGCGGAAGAUGUAACGGGGCUAAGCAAUAUACCGAAGCUGCGGCAGCAUAGUUUACUAUGCUGGGUAGGGGAGCGUUGUGUAAGUGGAUGAAGGUGAGUUGUAAAGCUUGCUGGACAUAUCACAAGUGCGAAUGCUGACAUGAGUAACGAUAAUGGGAGUGAAAAACUCCCACGCCGGAAGACCAAGGUUUCCUGUCCCAUGCUAAUCAGGGCAGGGUAAGUCGGCCCCUAAGGCGAGGCAGAAAUGCGUAGUCGAUGGGAAACGGAUUAAUAUUUCCGUACUUAUAUAAUCAGUGAUGGAGGGACGGAGAAGGCUAGGCAAGCUUGGCGUUGGUUGUCCAAGUGAAAGCGAGUAGGCCGAGAAUUUAGGUAAAUCCGGAUUCUUAAAGCUGAGACGCGAGACGAGCUCCCAAGGGAGUGAAGUUGUUGAUGCCCUGCUUCCAGGAAAAGCUUCUAAACUUAUGAUUAUAUGAACCGUACCCCAAACCGACACAGG
rnacentral:rRNA from 12 species